AACGAACGCUGGCGGCAGGCUUAACACAUGCAAGUCGAACGCCCGUAGCAAUACGGGAGUGGCGGACGGGUGAGUAACGCGUGGGAACGUACCCUGAGGUACGGAAUAACCGAGGGAAACUUCGGCUAAUACCGUAUGAGCCCCGCAAGGGGGAAAGAUUUAUCGCCUUGGGAGCGGCCCGCGUCGGAUUAGCUAGUUGGUGGGGUAACGGCCUACCAAGGCUUCGAUCCGUAGCUGGUCUGAGAGGACGAUCAGCCACACUGGGACUGAGACACGGCCCAGACUCCUACGGGAGGCAGCAGUGGGGAAUCUUGCGCAAUGGGGGCAACCCUGAUCCAGCCAUGCCGCGUGAGUGAAGAAGGCCCUCGGGUUGUAAAGCUCUUUUGUCCGGAAAGAAAAGCAAUCGGUUAAUACCCGGUUGUUCUGACGGUACCGGAAGAAUAAGCACCGGCUAACUUCGUGCCAGCAGCCGCGGUAAAGCGUAU
rnacentral:rRNA from 1 species